rnacentral:tRNA from 1 species
GCCCCCAUAGCUCAGGGGAUAGAGCACCGGUCUCCGGAACCGGGUGCCCAGGUUCGAAUCCUGGUGGGGGCG